rnacentral:rRNA from 1 species
AAAUUGAAGAGUUUGAUCAUGGCUCAGAUUGAACGCUGGCGGCAGGCCUAACACAUGCAAGUCGAGCGGCAGCGGGAAAGUAGCUUGCUACUUUUGCCGGCGAGCGGCGGACGGGUGAGUAAUGCCUGGGAAAUUGCCCAGUCGAGGGGGAUAACAGUUGGAAACGACUGCUAAUACCGCAUACGCCCUACGGGGGAAAGCAGGGGACCUUCGGGCCUUGCGCGAUUGGAUAUGCCCA